rnacentral:rRNA from 1 species
AGGUGUAGCGGUGAAAUGCGUAGAGAUCUGGAGGAAUACCGGUGGCGAAGGCGGCCCCNUGGACGAAGACUGACGCUCAGGUGCGAAAGCGUGGGGAGCAAACAGGAUUAGAUACCCUNGUAGUCCACGCCGUAAACGAUGUCGACUUGGAGGUUGUGCCCUUGAGGCGUGGCUUCCGAGCUAACGCGUUAAGUCGACCGCCUGGGGAGUACGGCCGCAAGGUUAAAACUCAAAU